GACGAACGCUGGCGGCGUGCUUAACACAUGCAAGUCGAACGAGAGCGUAGAGAAAGCUUGCUUUUUCUACAAUCUAGUGGCAAACGGGUGAGUAACGCGUAAACAACCUGCCCUACGGAUGGGGACAACAGCUGGAAACAGCUGCUAAUACCGAAUACGUUCCGAAAGUCGCAUGACUAUCGGAAGAAAGGAUGGCCUCUAUUUAUAAGCUAUCGCCGGAGGAGGGGUUUGCGUCUGAUUAGCUAGUUGGAGGGGUAACGGCCCACCAAGGCGACGAUCAGUAGCCGGUCUGAGAGGAUGAACGGCCACAUUGGAACUGAGACACGGUCCAGACUCCUACGGGAGGCAGCAGUGGGGAAUCUUCCGCAAUGGGCGAAAGCCUGACGGAGCAACGCCGCGUGAGUGAAGACGGCCUUCGGGUUGUAAAGCUCUGUUAUACGGGACGAAUAAUCUUGUGGUUAAUACCCAGGAGAAGUGACGGUACCGUAAGAGAAAGCCACGGCUAACUACGUG
rnacentral:rRNA from 1 species